rnacentral:rRNA from 1 species
UACGUAGGGGGCAAGCGUUGUCCGGAUUUAUUGGGCGUAAAGAGCGUGUAGGCGGUUAGGUAGGUCCGUUGUGAAAACUCGAGGCUCAACCUCGAGACGCCGAUGGAAACCAUCUGACUAGAGUCCGGAAGAGGAGAGUGGAAUUCCUGGUGUAGCGGUGAAAUGCGCAGAUAUCAGGAAGAACACCGGUGGUGUAGACGGCUUUCUGGACCGUAACUGACGCUGAUGCGCGAAAGCUAGGGGAGCAAACAGG